AGUACCUUCGGUUUGCACGACAUUGAAUGCUGCAUAUUCCAGCAAAAAGCCAAAUACUCUAGGAGAAAUGAGCUCCGGUUCUAAGCGACGGCUAACUAAGUAACCCGUUAUAUGUCGUAACAACGGAGUAGUAAAAUCAACUUGAGGGAAGUUUACUUGGUUCUCUAACGUUGAAACCAACGAUAAAAGAACAUGCACAUCUUUUUGUAACUCCUCCGUCAACACUUCCCAAAAUCCAUUAAGGAUUGAUAAUUGAAGAGCAACACUAUUAGAAGAUGGUGCAGUAUUGUUACCAAGGGAAACUUUUGGAUCAAUGUGUUUACGAAGUAGACGAAGUGCAACAUCAAUCUUUCCGUUCUCAAUGAAAGCUUUGUAAACGUUCGAAAACGUAAAGUUAGUGUGAGAAGACACAGAACAAAUAACGGGAUAUGCAUGUAAAUGAAGUAGAUCGACAUUCCCUGAUCUGGCAAGCAAGUCCAGAUAACGGAGAAGCACUGCAUGACAGUCGCUAAAUCGAGAUAAUGUAUAUUUUCUCACAAAAGCAAUAGCAAACUUGUCGUUGUUGUUCAAACAAGCCGCCUCCAAUAUGGACGAUAAUGUAGACGGACUCGCUUUGUAAGUGCUAAUCUUUUCUAUAGCCAUACCAAGCCAUUCAGCAGAUUCCUUAUAAUGUCCUAAUUGAGCCAAUCUACGUAAAAAGCAGUCUAAUAUUGAAGACGGUAUAACUUGAUUGCUAUCAGCCUUUCGGAAAAAAGAUUUCAUCAAUGCACUUGCUUCAACAUGGUGAUCUGUGUCAAAAUAAGCUUCCAUUAAACCUUCCCAAGAACGCACAUUAGUCAUCGAAGUGUCACUAGUUGGAUCAGAUAAGUUAUAACGCUC